rnacentral:rRNA from 1 species
UACAGAGGUCUCAAGCGUUGUUCGGAUUCAUUGGGCGUAAAGAGCGUGUAGGCGGCUCGGUAAGUCCGCUGUGAAAGUCCAGGGCUCAACCCUGGAAUGCCGGUGGAAACUGUCGGGCUAGAGUCCGGAAGAGGCGAGUGGAAUUCCUGGUGUAGCGGUGAAAUGCGCAGAUAUCAGGAGGAACACCAAUGGCGAAGGCAGCUCGCUGGGACGGUACUGACGCUGAGACGCGAAAGCGUGGGGAGCAAACAG